UACAGAGGGGGCAAGCGUUGUUCGGAAUUACUGGGCGUAAAGGGCGCGUAGGCGGCCUGCUAAGUCGAACGUGAAAUCCCCGGGCUCAACCCGGGAACUGCGUCCGAUACUGACAGGCUUGAAUCCGGGAGAGGGAUGUGGAAUUCCAGGUGUAGCGGUGAAAUGCGUAGAUAUCUGGAGGAAUACCGGUGGCGAAGGCGGCAUCCUGGACCAGC
rnacentral:rRNA from 1 species